rnacentral:rRNA from 1 species
UUACCGAACGGAUCGCAUUAUAAUUAUCAUUAUUUGAUGAUUGGCGAUAGAUCAUUCAAGUUUCUGACCUAUCAGCUUUCGACGGUAGUGUAUUGGACUACCGUGGCAGUGACGGGUAACGGGGAAUUAGGGUUCGAUUCCGGAGAGGGAGCCUGAGAAACGGCUACCACAUCUAAGGAAGGCAGCAGGCGCGCAAAUUACCCAAUCCUGACUCAGGGAGGUAGUGACAAGAAAUAACAACACUGGAAAUUUGAUUUCUAGUGAUUGGAAUGAUGGGAAUCCAAACCCCUUUCAGAGUAACAAUUGGAGGGCAAGUCUGGUGCCAGCAGCCGCGGUAAUUCCAGCUCCAAUAGCGUAUAUUAAAGUUGUUGCAGUUAAAAAGCUCGUAGUUGGAUGUCUGUUGGAAGCAAUCAUCAGUCCGCCCUAUUUGAUUAGGGUGUGAAUAUGAUGAAUUCCGGCAUAAUUGUCUCCCUAUUGUUAAUAUUCUGAUUGUUAGAUUCAUUUCUAACAAUAAUACGAUUAUUAAUAAUAAGGGGGAAAUGUUACUUUGAGAAAAUUAGAGUGUUUGAAGCAGGCUUUUGUUGCCUUGAAUACUGCAGCAUGGAAUAACAAUAUAGGAUUUCGGUUCUAUUUUGUUGGUUCUUUUUUUAGGACUGAAAUAAUGAUUAAUAGGGACAGUUGGGGGCAUUCGUAUUUAACUGUCAGAGGUGAAAUUCUUAGAUUUGUUAAAGACGAACUACUGCGAAAGCAUUUGCCAAAGAUGUUUUCAUUAAUCAAGAACGAAAGUUAGGGGCUCGAAGACGAUCAGAUACCGUCGUAGUCUUAACCAUAAACUAUGCCGACUAGAGAUAGGAAAUUGUCAUUUUACUUGACUUCUC